rnacentral:rRNA from 1 species
CCUACGGGGCGCAGCAGUGAGGAAUAUUGGUCAAUGGGCGCGAGCCUGAACCAGCCAAGUCGCGUGAGGGAGGACGGCCCUACGGGUUGUAAACCUCUUUUGCCGGGGAGCAACGGGCGUCACGUGUGGCGCCACUGAGAGUACCCGGAGAAAAAGCAUCGGCUAACUCCGUGCCAGCAGCCGCGGUAAUACGGAGGAUGCGAGCGUUAUCCGGAUUUAUUGGGUUUAUAGGGUGCGUAGGCGGAUCGUUAAGUCAGUGGUCAAAUUGAGGGGCUCAUCCCCUUCCCCCCAUUGAAACUGGCGCA